rnacentral:rRNA from 1 species
GGGAACCUCACCAGGCCCGGACACCGGAAGGAUUGACAGAUUGAGAGCUCUUUCUCGAUUCGGUGGGUGGUGGUGCAUGGCCGUUCUUAGUUGGUGGAGUGAUUUGUCUGGUUAAUUCCGAUAACGAACGAGACUCUGUCCUGCUAAAUAGUGUCCGCUUCUCUUUUGAGCGGACAAUUCUUCUUAGAGGGACUGGCGACUCUUAGUCGCACGAGAUUGAGCAAUAA